rnacentral:tRNA from 1 species
GGGUAUAGCUCAGUGGUAGAGCGUGUGCCUGGAGUGCAUGAGGUCCUGGGUUCAAUCCCUAGCACCUCCG